rnacentral:rRNA from 1 species
AUUGAACGCUGGCGGCAGGCCUAACACAUGCAAGUCGAGCGGAUGAAGGGAGCUUGCUCCUGGAUUCAGCGGCGGACGGGUGAGUAAUGCCUAGGAAUCUGCCUGGUAGUGGGGGAUAACGUCCGGAAACGGGCGCUAAUACCGCAUACGUCCUGAGGGAGAAAGUGGGGGAUCUUCGGACCGCACGCUAUCAGAUGAGCCUAGGUCGGAUUAGCUAGUUGGUGGGGUAAAGGCCUACCAAGGCGACGAUCCGUAACUGGUCUGAGAGGAUGAUCAGUCACACUGGCGCUGAGACACGGUCCAGACUCCUACGGGAGGCAGCAGUGGGGAAUAUUGGACAAUGGGCGAAAGCCUGAUCCAGCAAUGCCGCGUGUGUGAAGAAGGUCUUCGGAUUGUAAAGCACUUUAAGUUGGGAGGAAGGGCAGUAAGUUAAUACCUUGCUGUUUUGACGUUACCAACAGAAUAAGCACCGGCUAACUUCGUG